CUCAGAAAUUUCGUAACUCUUACAUCAUUGAAAAUAAGUUAAACCCUAAAACCAAAAACCCUAAGCUAUGAAGGUCAAAGUAAUAUCACGCUCCACUGAUGAAUUCACUCGAGAACGAAGCCAAGAUCUUCAGAGAGUUUUUCGAAAUUUUGAUCCGAACCUUCGACCCCAAGAGAAAGCUAUCGAGUAUGUUCGGGCACUUAACGCCGCCAAAUUGGAGAAGAUAUUUGCGAGACCGUUCAUUGGAGCAAUGGAUGGGCACAUUGAUGCUGUUUCAUGUAUGGCAAAAAAUCCAAAUUACUUGAAAGGGAUAUUUUCUGGUUCUAUGGAUGGAGAUAUUCGCCUGUGGGACAUGGCUUCCAGGAGAACAGUCUGUCAGUUUCCUGGUCAUCAAGGUGCUGUACGAGGUUUGGCAGCCUCUACAGAUGGGCGCACUCUGGUAUCUUGUGGAACCGAUUGCACUGUAAGACUUUGGAAUGUUCCAGUAGCUACUAUUGUGGAAUCAGAUGACUCUUCUAACUGUUCAGCAGAGGUAUUGCUUUCUUCAUCUAGUAAUAUGUUGUCUGUUGAAUCAAUUCUUCUCUCUUAACCUGCUGAUCAAAUAUAUAUUUUUGCAGCCAUUGGCAGUUUAUUCUGGGAAUAAUGCAUUUUGGUAAUGAUAUUAGUUAUUUCUCAGGAAAUAUGUUCUGAAUUUUUGUAUUGCAUAUGUGGCAUUGCAAGUGUUAUUCCCUAUAUUCUGAAGUCUGAACCUACCUUCAUGUUUUAAGGGAUGUUGAUCACCAAUGGGAUGGCGAGCUCUUUGCCACAGCUGGUGCUCAAGUAGAUAUUUGGAAUCACAAUAGGUCUCAGCCUAUUAACAGUUUUGAAUGGGGAACAGACACAGUUAUAUCUGUUCGAUUUAAUCCGGGGGAACCAAACCUCUUAGCAACAUCAGCAAGGUAUGCCUGGAUAAAUGACAUAUAGUUCAAUCAUCAUGUGCUUGAUCAGAUAGAUACACAUGUGAUAUAGAUAAUGUUCUCAUUCUGUACUUAUUUUCCAUAUUUGCAAGGAUUGAUCACAAAAAUUUCAUGAAUGUUUUUCCCAUUUGCUAUUCUGGGCCAUAGUCAAUUAUAGCGUAUACUUUAAUUAUUUGGUGCAAUCAUGGUCAAGCCAUCUAAAUCCAUUUUAUAUGUGUAAAAUUUGGGGCCACUUCAGAAAUUUGAAAAGUGAGAACCUUGUCUCGUCUCAAUUGUGGCAACUGUCUCAGGUAGUAUACCUGUAGGAAUAGUGAUCCAAUUAGAAUUCAUAUGCUGUUUUAGAAGUUUUGGAUAUAAAUAAAAGAAGGAUGAUUGCUAAGAACAUAUUCCUUCCUAAAGAGGACUUUUGAUCCAUGUUCAACUUUUGGAUAAGGGCAUGCUACAGUGCAGCUAGAGUUGAUGAAAAUUAGCUUCCUCAAAUGAUGCCAGGGAAACAGAGGAUUGUAUUCUUAAAAUUGUCAAGGUUCUUUUUGUUUCUUCCCUGAUCUUGUUUCUAGGAUCUGAUAUGUUUUGUUCUUCCAUCUUUUGUCCUUUAAGAUUGAUUUAAGAGACUAAGCAACUAGGUAACAUACUAACGUAUUCAAAUAACCCCUUAUAGGUGCAGCAGUUCUCAAUACAUAUGACGUGUCACCUUUAUUUAGUUGCUUUAUUAGUCAUGAGUAAUUGACUUUGAAUGCCGCAAUGCAUUCACAAUUUGGCUUUCUUAUUUCAGCCAGUGGGUUACUGUUUGAUCAAGGGGAUUUUUCAGGAUACUUUGUUUCCGGUGUUCAUAGUUGAAUGCGACAUCCUGAUACAUAUGCAUUUGGUAACAUAGCUAUAUUCAUUGUUAAAUGAAUAAAUAAAUAGGCAUAUAUGCUGCAUAUGCUGCCUGUACCCUUUCCUUCUCCUUAUGACUAUAUUCUUUUUAAGGUGUUAUAGGUGUCAGACCCUUAAAUGGAUGUAAGAUGCAUGCAGCAUGUUGAUUUAUUUGUGAUUUCUGUAGAAUGCUUACCUUCUUGUGGAAUUCAUAAUCAAUCUAUUAUAUUAUUAUACUCUAUGGUGAAUAUUGAAUGUGAAUAUACAUAUGGAUAUGCGCACACAUUCACGAGAGAGAGAGAGAGAGAGA
rnacentral:misc_RNA from 1 species